CACGCUGUGCGGUUUCCAUGGUCUUGAUGGUGGAAAGAAACUAUGUCUCAUUCAAGAUCUGACACCAGUGUCAGCCCGGUUGCUGAUAUAUGCUAAGCCAUCAGAAGUUAUUUGUUGAACAGAUGAAUCCGUGGAUGACAGCCACUCUGUGAUGGAUAGCUCUGAGAUAAUCACGCAAGAGCCUACCAAGAAUCGUCCACACAUUCAGUGACCAUAACCAAUGUAGUCUGGAUCUGUGGAGCACAAGAGCAGCAAGUGAAGUCAUCGCACUAUAACCAUCUGUUCAAGUGGAAGAUCAAGUGACAUGGAGAGUGGCAGGCACUUACCUAGCCAUAGUCCCGCCAUCCCACAGAGGCAGCCCCAGGGCAGCGCUGCGAAGGAGGACCAGUGCUCCACUUUGGUGAAAUACAGGAUGAUGGGAGUGAAGGAGAUAAAGAUCAAAUUGAAGAACCCCAAGGUGGAGACAAAGUGUGCAGCUUCACCGAAGUUGGCACUGCCCAGAAACAUCUUAAACAGAACCUGGAAAGGAGAGAAACUCUUGAGAAUCUUUGCUGCAGGACAAAAGUGAAUUCUACUGAACUUACCGGCCUAGAGUUUAGGCUCCAUGUCAUCUGCCCUACUACCUCUGUAUUACUAAAUGGGAUAGGGUGACAAAGAAUUAAAAUGCCC
rnacentral:lncRNA from 1 species